UACGUAGGGACCAAGCGUUGUUCGGAUUUAUUGGGCGUAAAGAGCUCGUAGGCGGCUUGUCGCGUCGUCCGUGAAAACCCACAGCUCAACUGUGGGCUUGCGGUCGAUACGGGCAGGCUAGAGUUCGGUAGGGGGAGACUGGAAUUCCAGGUGUAGCGGUGAAAUGCGUAGAUAUCUGGAGGAACACCGGUGGCGAAGGCGGCAUCCUGGACCAAUAUUGACGCUGAGGAGCGAAAGCCAGGGGAGCAAAGCGGG
rnacentral:rRNA from 1 species